ACAACAUAAUUUUUAAUAUGAAUAAUGAGAGUUUUCACACUAUAAAUUGGUCAUACAAUUUUUUAUUGCUACAUGCGAAGAAAAAAUAUGGCUGAAAUUCUCAAAAUUUGUUCUAUUAUGAUUAUUAUUUUUUUAAUAUUUAUCAUUGAAACCGAUGGCGAUAUCACAGAAAAACCACCCUGCAGAAGAACUAAAGAUUGUCCUCGUGACUUGUGUCUUCCUCCUUUUACUGUAAAGUGUAUCAAGUUUUAUUGUCGUUGUAGUUUCAUUUAGCAAUUAAGUUUAAAAAUAAUUACAUGGUACUUCUAAGAAUAUAAUUGUAUUUGCAAUUAUAUUAUUGGUACUUUUAUGUUUUCUAUUGCAAAUUAAUCUUCCGUCUAUCAUAAAUGCCAGUUGAAAAAUGUUCAAUAA